rnacentral:lncRNA from 1 species
UCAAUACUUUUAUUUUUAUUUAAAAAAUAUCAUUUAGGUGCGAUAGAUAUCCGACGGAUAACCCAAUAUCCAAUCGGAUAGUGUAUGGGUAAGUAUUGAUCCACCGGGUCACAAGUCAGGUUCGGAUCAAAAAUAUUGGGAUAUCGGAUCGGAUUCAAAUUCGAACCCAAUUUGAUCUUAUGUAUAUAUAUUAUAUGAAAUAUGGGCCUUAUGACCUUUAAAUUUGAUUGAGAUCUCGAGGGCUG